UGGUUUCGGACGAAUACAAAAUUUCGCGAGACCGUACGACCUAAGAAUUUAGCUAUAAAGAAUUGGUUGAUAUACCUACCUUUUUUUGUAGUUAAGAUCACAGAUAUACGUCAAACUUGACGAUUGUGGAUAUUUUUCGAUUACUCCGCAAUUAUUCUAAUAAUAUGGAAUCCACAUAAAGGUUCGCAUUUGCAGACUGCACUACUCACGAUGUACAGCAGUGGCGAGGACAAAUCAAUUGCUCCAGCUUCAUAUCUCGCUCGUAACGAUAUUAUCAAGCGUGUAACCAUUACACAUACUUUGUCUUAUGAGAUUAUUAUGAAUCACCGUAACACAAUCACUAAAGCCAACUAGUGAAAUUAAAUCCAUUCAUGAAAAUUCUACAAGCCCCGAAUUUCAGACUCAAUAAUUACACCAGGCACCAAUUUAACACUUUUGGAAUGUGCAAAAAUGGUGUUAUAGCACUGAGUACGAAACACACCUCCGUUGAUAUCAGUGACGUCUGUGGUUCCACUGCAGUCACUUCACAAAAAAAAUGUAAAAAGUAAUUAGAGUAAUGAUUAAUGAGACAGUAAUUAGUGGAACACUAACGACAAGUAAUGGACACCUACGGAAUGGUUAUUUGAACUCAUGGCACCUUAGAUACCUGAUACACCAAUGAUUGUCGUUCCCAAUCUCACUUAAUAAUUUUGUGAAGCGGCUGCAAUGGAACUAUAUAUGUCAUUGGGACCAACGGAUAUGUGUUUCGCAGUGACAACUAUCCAACGCGGUCAGUCUCCAUUUGUGCACAAAACCUAUGUUGCCAAUAAUUAAUUGGUUAAAAAAGUUGAGGAAAUGGCAGCACCCAAAAUAGUCUCGCAUUUUGACAGAACUAUCGGGGGGCCAAGUAAAAACUCGAGUCUCCAUUUUUUUUUUGUACAAUCCUUGUAUCGAAUGUUUUUAUUUUUAUUUUUAAUAGUAAAUACACAAAUUAGAAAUUCUUAAUGCGAAAAAAAAUUAAUUUAUAUUUGUUGGUUGAUGCUGAAAAAUAAAUUUCCGUACACAAUUACCUAGCAGUAAAAUGUUUUUUUUUUUGUUGUAAGAAACGACAAAAUACAAAGUAAUUUAAAAAAAAACGAACUAAAAAAUAGGGGAGGAAUCGAUAUACUAAUCUGAUGCUACCAUAUAAAUAUUCCCGUUUCUUUUAGCGUUUUUCAAGAGUGUUUUUGUGUUUUUAAGUUUUAUUUUUCUUCCUUUAUUAAUUCAACAAAAAUGAGAGAACCUUUUUCAUUACAAAUAAAUAAAAUAAAAAAAAGAAUUAGGAAAAAAUCUUCCGAGAAUCGAAACAAUAAAUUCUCCGCAAACGAAGAAAAUUUAAACUGUUCGACACGUCGUCGAUUCUCCUUUUAAUUUUUCUUUAUUUUUUCUGUUUGGUUGGUAUAGUAAAUUUUCCUUUUUAAUUUGCUUCAAGAACUUUCGUUAGAUUAAAAUUGGGCUUUUCUUUACUCCGUUUGUUUUGUUACU